rnacentral:rRNA from 1 species
AACGAACGCUGGCGGCAUGCCUAACACAUGCAAGUCGAACGAGACCUUCGGGUCUAGUGGCGCACGGGUGCGUAACGCGUGGGAACCUGCCCUUAGGUUCGGAAUAACUCCCCGAAAGGGGUGCUAAUACCGGAUAAUGUCUUCGGACCAAAGAUUUAUCGCCUUUGGAUGGGCCCGCGUUGGAUUAGCUAGUUGGUAGGGUAAAAGCCUACCAAGGCGACGAUCCAUAGCUGGUCUGAGAGGAUGAUCAGCCACACUGGGACUGAGACACGGCCCAGACUCCUACGGGAGGCAGCAGUGGGGAAUAUUGGAUAAUGGGCGAAAGCCUGAUCCAGCAAUGCCGCGUGAGUGAUGAAGGCCUUAGGGUUGUAAAGCUCUUUUACCCGGGAUGAUAAUGACAGUACCGGGAGAAUAAGCGCCGGCUAACUCCGUG